rnacentral:rRNA from 1 species
AGAACGAACGCUGGCGGCAUGCCUAACACAUGCAAGUCGAACGAGACCUUCGGGUCUAGUGGCGCACGGGUGCGUAACGCGUGGGAAUCUGCCCUUAGGUUCGGAAUAACAGUUAGAAAUGACUGCUAAUACCGGAUAAUGUCUUCGGACCAAAGAUUUAUUGCCUAAGGAUGAGCCCGCGUAAGAUUAGCUUGUUGGUGAGGUAAAGGCUCACUAAGGCGACGAUCUUUAGCUGGUCUGAGAGGAUGAUCAGCCACACUGGGACUGAGACACGGCCCAGACUCCUACGGGAGGCAGCAGUGGGGAAUAUUGGACAAUGGGCGAAAGCCUGAUCCAGCAAUGCCGCGUGAGUGAUGAAGGCCUUAGGUGUAAAGCUCUUUACCCGGGAUGAUAAUGACAGUACCGGAGAAUAAGCCCGCUAACUCCGUGCCAGCAGCCGAC